UGUUCUCUUCAAAAACCAUCCCAAAAGUUUCUUCUUUCGGUUCAACAUGGGAAGCUUUUCGAGUUUUAACCGCAUUUUGUUCACAUAAAGGCUUUUUUUCCGGACGAAACACUAUGUCUUGAGUGUGAAAGAUCAUACAACACAAAUUCUGUUACCAUAGAGUUGUCGGAUACUUUGUCAUUUAUUUCAGAACAUAAAUUACUGGAAACCAGCAUCUUUGCUACUACUGAGGAAUCCUUGUCAAAAUCGUGAGACUCCAACUCGGUGGCAUUGCUCUUCUUUCUAUUAUUAUCGAUGGAGUGAAAGGUAUAUUCAAAAUUGAAACCAUUACCUAUUCUCCAUGUCUUGGCCACAAAAAACAUCUUCAGGGCACUUCACCUUGAACUCAAAGAAAGGCAUUCCGUGUUUGCUUUCCAACUUGAGAUUACCAUGCAGGUGAACCGGCGAAGAUGCUAUGCCCAAAUACUUGAUUUCUCUGUUGAUAAACUCAGAAAUAAUAUCAGAAUGCUUUCCGGUGUUCGACAAGUCAUUCAGCAAAUAUUUCUGAUGAGUCCUGUUGCUUAUAGUCUCUGAUGUCUCAUUUGAUUUAC
rnacentral:lncRNA from 1 species